UACGGGGGGGGCAAGCGUUGUUCGGAAUUACUGGGCGUAAAGGGCGCGUAGGCGGUCUGCUAAGUCGGACGUGAAAUCCCUCGGCUCAACCGAGGAACUGCGUCCGAUACUGGUGGGCUUGAAUCCGGGAGAGGGAUGUGGAAUUCCAGGUGUAGCGGUGAAAUGCGUAGAUAUCUGGAGGAACACCGGUGGCGAAGGCGGCAUCCUGGACCGGUAUUGACGCUGAGGCGCGAAAGCUAGGGGAGCAAACGGG
rnacentral:rRNA from 1 species